UACAGAGGUCUCGAGCGUUGUUCGGAUUCAUUGGGCGUAAAGGGCGCGUAGGCGGCGGGGUAAGUCUGGUGUGAAAUCUCGGAGCUCAACUCCGAAAUUGCACUGGAUACUGCUCUGCUAGAGGGCUGGAGAGGAGAUCGGAAUUCACGGUGUAGCAGUGAAAUGCGUAGAUAUCAGGAGGAACACCGGUGGCGAAGGCGGGUCUCUGGGCAACAACUGACGCUGAGGAGCGAAAGCGUGGGGAGCGAACAGG
rnacentral:rRNA from 1 species